UGUUCCAUUUAUCUGACCUGAUGAAGGUCUCCUGGCAUUGAUUAGGUCUGAUGAUCCAUUUCUG
ensembl:miRNA MIR4256 microRNA 4256